rnacentral:rRNA from 1 species
GAUGAACGCUGGCGGCGUGCUUAACACAUGCAAGUCGAACGGAAAGGCCAGUGCUUGCGCUGGUACUCGAGUGGCGAACGGGUGAGUAACACGUGGGUGAUCUGCCCUGCACUUCGGGAUAAGCUUGGGAAACUGGGUCUAAUACCGGAUAGGACCAUUGGUUGGUGCCUUUGGUGGAAAGUUUUUUCGGUGUGGGAUGAGCUCGCGGCCUAUCAGCUUGUUGGUGGGGUAAUGGCCUACCAAGGCGUCGACGGGUAGCCGGCCUGAGAGGGUGUACGGCCACAUUGGG